GAUGAACGCUGGCGGCGUGCCUAAUACAUGCAAGUCGAGCGAACAGAGGAGGAACUUGCUCCUCUGACGUUAGCGGCGGACGGGUGAGUAACACGUGGAUAACCUACGUAUAAGACUGGGAUAACUUCGGUAAACCGGAGCUAAUACCGGAUAAAAUAUUGAACCGCAUGGUUCAAUAGUGAAAGACGGUUUUGCUGUCACUUAUACAUGGAUCCGCGCAGCAUUAGCUAGUUGGUAAGGUAACGGCUUACCAAGGCAACGAUGCGUAGCCGACCUGAGAGAGUGAUCGGCCACACUGGAACUGGGCACCGGUCCAGCCUCUUCCGGGAGGAAGAAGUAGGGAAUCUCCGGCAAGGGGGGAAAGCCUGCCGGAGCACCGCCGCGUGAGUGAUGAAGGUCUUCGGAUCUUAAAACUCUGUUAUUAGGGAAGAACAAAUGUGUAAGUAACUAUGCAAGUCUUGACGGUACCUAAUCAGAAAGCCACGGCUAACUACGUG
rnacentral:rRNA from 1 species